UACGUAGGGUGCAAGCGUUGUCCGGAAUUAUUGGGCGUAAAGAGCUCGUAGGCGGUUUGUCGCGUCUGCUGUGAAAACGCGAGGCUCAACCUCGCACCUGCAGUGGGUACGGGCAGACUAGAGUGCGGUAGGGGAGAUUGGAAUUCCUGGUGUAGCGGUGGAAUGCGCAGAUAUCAGGAGGAACACCGAUGGCGAAGGCAGAUCUCUGGGCCGUAACUGACGCUGAGGAGCGAAAGCGUGGGGAGCGAACAGG
rnacentral:rRNA from 1 species